rnacentral:rRNA from 1 species
UACGUAGGGUGCAAGCGUUGUCCGGAAUUAUUGGGCGUAAAGAGCUCGUAGGCGGUUUGUCGCGUCGAAUGUGAAAGCCCGGGGCUCAACUCCGGGCCUGCAUUCGAUACGGGCAGACUAGAGUUCGGUAGGGGAGACUGGAAUUCCUGGUGUAGCGGUGAAAUGCGCAGAUAUCAGGAGGAACACCGGUGGCGAAGGCGGGUCUCUGGGCCGAUACUGACGCUGAGGAGCGAAAGCGUGGGGAGCGAACAGG